rnacentral:rRNA from 1 species
UACGUAGGUGGCGAGCGUUGUUCGGAAUUACUAGGCGUAAAGCGUCUGUAGGCGGGGCGGAAAGUCACAGGUGAAAGCUUUGGGUUUAACCCAGAAAUUGCUUGCGAUACUUUUGUUCUUGAGGGAUGGAGAGGAAGCUGGAAUUCCCGGUGUAGCGGUGAAAUGCGUAGAUAUCGGGAGGAAUAUUAAUGGCGAAGGCAGGUUUCUGGUUAUAUUUUGAUGUUGAGAGACGAAAGCUCGGGGAGCAAACAGG